UGAAUUCUCAUGUGUUUGUUCAAACAACCUUUUUCAUUAAAUCGUUUACCACAAUCAGGACAGCCAAAGGGCUUCUCUCUUGCUGAAUUCUCAUGUGUCUUCAGGUGGCUCUUAGUUCUAAAAUUUUAUCACAUGCAGAACAGCUAAAUGUUUCUCAUCUGUAUGACUGCUCACGUCUGUUCAGAAGGCUCUUACUUUCAAACCUUUACCACAGCCAAAACAGCCAAAGGGUUCUCUCCUGCAUGAGUGACCAUGUGUGAAUUCAAAACUCUUACUCGAAAUCUUUUACACAUACAACACAGCCAAAUGGCUUCUCACCUGUAUGAAUUCUCAUGUGUUUGUUCAGACAACCUUUUUCAUUAAAUCUUUUGCCACAAUAAGGACAGCCAAA